rnacentral:rRNA from 1 species
UGGGGAAUCUUGCGCAAUGGGCGAAAGCCUGACGCAGCGAUACCGCGUGAGUGAAGAAGGCCCUUGGGUCGUAAAACUCUUUUGCAAGUGAAGAUAAUGACGGUAACUUGCGAAUAAGCACCGGCUAACUCCGUGCCAGCAGCCGCGGUAAUACGGAGGGUGCGAGCGUUGUUCGGAUUUACUGGGCGUAAAGGGUGCGUAGGCGGUUUCUUACGUGAAGGGUGAAAUCCCGAGGCUUAACCUCGGAAUUGCUUUUCAAACGGGGAGGCUAGAGAGAGUCAGAGGUAAGCGGAAUUCCUGGUGUAGAGGUGAAAUUCGUAGAUAUCAGGAGGAACGCCUGUGGCGAAAGCAGCUUACUGGGGCUUUUCUGACGCUGAGGCACGAAAGCGUGGGUAGCAAACG